rnacentral:rRNA from 1 species
GACGUUAGCUGCAGAAGAAGCACCGGCUAACUCCGUGCCAGCAGCCGACGGUAAUACGGGAGGGUGCGAGUACGUUAAGUACGGUAAUUACGUGGGACGUAAAGCGCAUGCAGGUUGGUUUAGUUAAGUCAGAUGUAGAAACGGCCCGGGGCUACAACCGUACGGUAAUUGACUAUUUAGAAACGUGGACAAACUAGAGUACUGUAGGAGGGGGUAGAAUUUCAGGUGUAGCGGUGAAAUGCGUAGAGAUCUGAAGGAAUACCGGUGGCGAAGGCGGCCCCCUGGACAGAUACUGACACUCAGAUGCGAAAGCGUGGGGAGCAAACAGGAUUAGAUACCCUGGUAG